rnacentral:ncRNA from 2 species
AUUUUUCUUCAGGGAUAGGUGUAACUCCAUACCGGCGGUAAAGCCCGCAAGCUUUUUAGACUAGAUUUUUAGUUUAUCGAAAAUCAUUAGAUUUUGAGAAUAUCUUAAUCUGUGUAAUAUGCGAUAAUCUUUGUACUCGCUUGACGAGUGAAAAUCUGUGUUAUAGCAUGAACUGGUUUAAUUCCAGUGCCGACAGUUAAAGUCUGGAUGAGAGAAGGAAAAU